rnacentral:tRNA from 1 species
UGGGGUGGUACUCAGUGGUAGAGCACUUGCCUAGCAUGUAUGAGGCACUGGGUUCGAUCCUCAGCACCACAU